rnacentral:rRNA from 1 species
UAACUUGAGUGCUGUAGGGGANACUGGAAUUCCUGGUGUAGCGGUGAAAUGCGCAGAUAUCAGGAGGAACCCCGAUGGCGAAGGCAGGUNUUUGGGCAGUUACUGACNCUGAGGAGCGAAAGCAUGGGUAGCGAACAGGAUUAGAUACCCUGGUAGUCCAUGCCGUAAACGGUGGGCNCUAGGUGUAGGGGGCUUCCACGUUUUUUGUNCCGUAGCUAACGCAUUAANCNCCCCCCCUGGGGAGUACGGCCGCAAGGCUAAAACUCAAAGGAAUUGACGGGGGCCCNCNCAANCGGCGGAGCAUGUGGAUUAAUUCGAUGCAACGNGAAGAACCUUACCUGGGCUUGACAUACNUCAGAUNGNUGCANANAAGUAGUUUCCCUUGUGGUUGGUGUACAGGUGGUGCANGGUUGUNGUCANCUCGUGUCGUGAGAUGUUGGGUUAAGUCCCGCAACGAGCGCAACCCUUGUNUUAUGUUGCCAGCAUUUUAGUUGGGGANUCAUGAGAGACUGCCGGGGUUAACUCGGAGGAAGGUGGGGAUGACGUCAAAUCAUCAUNCCCCUUAUGUCCAGGGCUUCACACAUGCUACAAUGGUCGGUACAACGCGCAGCGACNCUGUGAGGUGGAGCGAAUCGCUGAAAGCCGGUCUUAGUUCGGAUUGGGGUCUGCAACUCGACCCCAUGAAGUCGGAGUC